AAAUCAGGGUAUGAAAUUAAAACCGAGGGAAACACUCAACUAAUAGUGGAAUAGAAUUAAGGAUUUGAUUGUUGUAAGCUUACGCCCUUUUCUGAACAAAAGACUAAUCACCAACGCUGGAAACAAAUCAUUUAAAAGGGCGAAGUUGAAUAGUGUCAAGAACUCAAAAUUGUGAAAGAUGUUGCCAAAAACAGGUAACGUUAACGUUUUCCUGGGGCAGAAAGUCUU
rnacentral:lncRNA from 1 species